CGUGUAGGUGGCUUGGAAAGUUGGAUGUGAAAGCCCGGGGCCCAACCCCGGAAUUGCAUUCAAAACUUCCUCGCUAGAGUCCCGGAGAGGAAGGCGGAAUUCCCGGUGUAGAGGUGAAAUUCGUAGAUAUCGGGAGGAACACCAGUGGCGAAGGCGGCCUUCUGGACGGUGACUGACACUGAGACGCGAAAGCGUGGGGGGCAAACA
rnacentral:rRNA from 1 species